GACCACAGGUUAUGCCUUGCCAUUGACAGAAAUGGAUUGUAUGAUUCCAUGAGCUUAAAACCUGAAAUGGGUCUCGAGUUAUUUUGGCUUUGAAUUGAAGUAAGGCUUCGAGGUCAGUCUCAUUGCUGGUAGAAGCAAAGGUAGUAGAGGUAAAGAAAAAGAGAAGAACAUAGAUGCAAAGAGAUGAGAAAGGAUGUAAUAGGUUGUUGUUCAUGGAGAAAUUGAAGUAAGAACUAUGAAAUAAAAGAUUGAAGAUCAUAUGAGAAGAUAAUGGAUGGAAUUGAGGAAUAUUUAUUUGGUGUAUGAAGAGAAAUGCGAUAGGUACAGAGAAAACAAUAGUUCAAAAGUUUGAAUUUUCAUCCAAUUUCACACUUAAUUUAUUUGCCAGAGGUGAGCGGCUUGGUACAGACAGGAUUUUUUAAUUUUCAACUUUUGGUGCUGUCUUUAGACCCUCCUUAUGGGUGGGUGGAGGAUGCAUAGUAGUAUCAGUUUGACACGGGGUUGACUGAUUUAGUAGCCCGUGAAUGCAUAUAAGAAUCACUGUUUAUGAGAAAGACAAGAUAUUGAAAAAUAUUAAAAUUUCAAAUGUUUAUCCAUAAAUUUUUGCAUAAAUUUGAGUUUGUAGUUCACGUGCACAGAAUAAAUCUAAAUUACAACCUAAUUUAGACUUCGAUUAAUUAUUUUCUUUUCUCCUAAAUACUCGAAUUAAACAUUCUUAAAUAGAUAUAAUAAUAGUUAUUUUUCCCUUUAAAAAAAUAGUUAUUUUUUUUUUUAAAAGAGCUUUGUAUAUUUAAGGUUUAAUAAAUUUUUCAAAAACAUAUAAAAAGGAAAAAUGAAAAAGCAGCUUUUGAAAAGAAAUUUCAAACCCAAAAACUAUUUGGAAGAAAAGCAAAAAAGUUCCCUUGUGCUUUUAUUUGUGUUUCCACUAACACGACUGUGAAAGUAUUUUUCAACAAUCGUAGGUGCUCCACUUAAGCAGAUAAUGGACAAUCUUUAUAGCAAUUAAUUAUUGAUCAUAAAGAAAGACUUAAAGAGAAGACUGAAUUUCCUAUACUGUGACUAAUGAAAUUGUUCAGGUAAAUUAUUAGAUAAUUUUUGUUUUUUUGAAAAUGAUUAUUAGAUGAAAUUUUAUUACAACUAUAAUUGACAGUAAAGAGCCACAUGAAAAUUAAAAAUGUCAUAUACCUAUUUCAUUCAAUAAUAGUUUGAUUUGAAUUUAAUUUACUCCUUGAAUAUUAGGCCUAUAAUCCUAAAACUCUUUCCUUAAUUUCAUUUUUACUAGUUAUCAUGAUCUUUUCAUUCCUUCUCUCUUUCUUCUAAUAAUAUAUUGCAAUAUGAAGCCCUUUUCGUAACCCAAAUACAUAUACAUAUGAAGCAUAACUAGAACAAGCUUUUACCCUUCUAACUGCCGAGACAAUUCAAUCUAGACAUAAUUGACAAAUGGCCUUUUCUAUAUCCUACUUAUAUAUUUCUUGUGCAUCUGCUACCUUUUUUCAGGUUCCUUGUUGAGAAUGAUAUAAAGCGAGAACGGAUUCUCAUUUCACUAUCGUUAAUGGCUAUUGCAUGUGGAUUAUUUUCAUUGCUACUCCUGAUUUUGGCUCUCUCUGCAAAAACCAUUGAAGCCUACACUUUCCGACCUAAACGAUCAGUCACUAAAUUAUCUCUUUAUUUGGUACUCUUUUUUCAUCGUUUGGUCUUUCAUUCAAUCCUUUCAGCUCUUUCUUUUUAUUUUUAUUUUACUGCUUUAUUAUCUCUCUCUCUUUCACUCUCAGGUAUCAGAUAUGCUUCAUUUUACUUUGACCUUUCUUACGUGUGAGCAAGAAAAUCCAUUGUCUUUACAGGAAAUCUGUCAGCUUUCUUUGCUUUUCAAAACUUGGUAAAUACAAGACAUUUGUGGGAUUCAGUACAAUUUUUUUCCCUAGUGAUUUUCAUUUUAAUUCUCAAUUUUCAAAAUUUUCCUCGCAUUAUUUGAAAAUUUAAAUUUUAUAAAAAAAUUGUUCAUAAAUAUAUUUUCAAAUUUAAUUUUAAUUUUAAUUUUUUUUGGAAAAUAAAUUUAAAAUUUAUUUGAAUAUAUAAUUUAAUUAGUUUUUACUAGUAAUUUAUUAGUUUUAAUAAUUUAUAUCUUUAUUAAGUUAAAAAAAUUACAUUAAAUAGAAUAAUUCAUAGUAAAAUAGAUCUAAUACAAUUUGUUUGAACUUUUGUUAUUGCUUUUCAAAAUUCCAUUAAUAUGGUAUGCUGCGAUACCAAAGAACAUUAUAGUUUUGGAUUUUUCACAGAAUUUAAUUAUUAUUUUCUCUUCCAUUUAGAAUUUCAAAUAUUUUAAUUUUUGAUUUUCAGGUCAAUAUAUUAUUUUUAAACUGAAUAGACAUAAUUACUGAUGUUAUAUAUAAUAUAUUCAAUAAUUUUAUAUAUAAUAUUUAUUGCAUAAAUAAUAUAAUUAGAUACUUUAAACACAUUUUGACACUAAUUUAUUAUGUAUAGUUAUGUACAGGAGUUCAUUUAUUAAUGGCUUAUAUAUUAAUAUACUACUACUCUUUCAUGUUAUUGAUUAGCCAACCGAGCGAACCGAAUAUGGAUUUCCGCCACCGAGUCGGUUAAAACUUCGGCUGCAAUUAAUAUAUUCUUAUAAUUUACGAUUGAUAUUACAUAUCAUAUCCUCUGAUUAAAACAAUAUUGAUAUUAUAUAAGAAAUUUGCAUUUAAAUUUUUGAGAAAUUAAUUGAGUUAAUUAUGAUAUUUUUAAUUAAUAAUUUCCUCGGUUUUUGACUACCUAUAUUAGUCGGUGAAUUCGAUAUUAAACACUUUAAUUUAUAAAAUUUCAACUAUUAAACACUUCAACUUGCAAAUCAUUUAAUCAAAUGCUUCAACUUGUAAAAUUAAAUUAAUAAAACAUUGAUUGAACAGUGCAGGGAUAUAUUUAUAUACUUGCCUAUAACAAUAGCCAAAAUGAGAACAAUACAAAAUAAUGCACCAGAUAUUUCUUUUUAGUACUUUUUGAUUUCUAUUUUAUACAUAAAUACCGUAUGAUACAUAAAAGUCUAAGGUGGCUAGCAGAUAAAGCUUGAGUGCUAUAUUUUGCAGAUUCCGAGUUUUAUCUGUGUAUUUACAAAAAAAGUCUAGUUUUACUUACAGGUCAACACUUUGCAAAUCUUGGCCGUCUGUGAAGGCUGAUCACUGAAGACUGCAAGAGAACUUCCCUUCUUUUGUUUUCCAUUAAGCAGUUGAAUUAUGUCAGCAACAGUAAAAUCAUAUCACACCAUCUGAAAUUGUUGUUCUUCACCUAAUAUUUUCAGGAAGUAUUAAAAUCUUAAUGCACUCCAAGCAUUCAAGGAGAAAAGAUGAUCCAUUGCAACAAUUAAAUCAUGAGCAUUUAGAAUUACCAGUAGUCGAUGCCAAAAGACUAAAUUCACGCUCCAAGCUCCAUUUAGAUUCAUUCAGAUUGUUAAUGUUUACAAUAUACUCCUGGAAGUAACCAUUAAAGGUUAUUACUGAUAUAGUGGCUCUGGAAAGUCCAAGGAUAGGAAGAUGAUAAGUUGAUAGAAAGACAUUGAGAAGAAAGUUCUAAUGACAUGCAAUUAUCCACAGAAAAUAAUACACAUGUUCUUAUGCAUCAACAUUAAGCUUAUUUCUUAUUAAGGAACAAAAUUCCAUCAAUAGGUUUGGACUAAUCUACAAUUGAUUGCUACAGGAUAGAAAUUAUGAGAGCCAGAAUUCACUUCACUAAUCAAGAGAUAUGCAGAACUAAAAUUUAAGGAAGACUGUAAAAAUAAAUAAAAAAUAUUUUGGCCAUUGGGAAUAAGAUUUUCAAAAAUAAAUAAAAUAUUAUAUAAUUGUAGAAGAUAUUCUCUGAGUAAACUUAUUUACCCCAAACUUUACAAUUUGUUGCAAUUGCAUCUCUUUUUUUUUUUUCACCUAUCGAAACCCCACUUGAUAGGUUGCUGCAAUUGUGCCCUCUGGCCAAAAUUGAACAAAAAAAGAAUACUAUUUUAUUAUUUGCAAAAAAAAAUAAUAAAAAAAAAAAAAUUCCCUAAUUUCCCUCUCUUCCCACCAAACCUAGAAAUGUCAUGGAGAACAACCAUUGCCAAUGUCACUUCCUCUUCCACACUCAACCUCAGCCAAACCCAAAAAAUCAGAAUUGUCAAACAACACUAUUUACCCUUUGAAGCUGACUAAGUAUUCAAAGAAAUGUUAUUGAGAAGAACAAUUAUCAAACACAUUUACUUUCUCUCUAAGUUCUCUCCUAAUCCUUUUCUCUUUCUCCUCAUAAUCAACUUAUUAAGAUGGCAAGACCUGCACUCUCUUCUAAAACAAGAUCCAAUCGAAAUCUGUACCUCUCUUUGGUCAAAUCUUCUCUUCACCUCCACAUGUCACUUUCCUCUCAAAACUCAGGCCUUUAGGCCCUCCCAUACCAACAAUCCUGUAAUCACGUGACUGGAAAUUUCCCCUCCUCGAAGUGCUCUCAUCCCCAUCCACAAUGUUACCUUUCAUAGUCGCUUCAAAUGGAACCAGACUCCUUAAAUCAUUUGUAGCUCAAAUGACAAGCUGUUCAACAAACUCAUCACCAACAAGAAGCAAGUCAUGAAAACACCAAAUACUGAUUUUACAGCAGCUGCCAACUGGUUCGUGGUGGUAGAGGCAUUUUGACUAUGGGAGCUUCACAGGUGGUGAAAGAGAUCUAAGAGUGAAACUUUGGUGGCUUUAGCAUUCAGGGAAGAGAUUCGAGUUUGUGAGAGGGGAGAGAGUUUGGAAAAAAGAAAUUAAUUUUCUUUUGUGCAAAUAAUAAGAUAUUAUUAUUUCUCGUUCAAUUUUGAACAUAGAAUACAAUAGCAACAAACUUACCGAAUUGGGGCAUAAAAGUUAAAAAGAAAAAUAGAGUACAAAUGCAACAAGUAGCAUCGUUUUGGGUAAAUAAGUUUAUCAAGCCAAUUUUUUAGUUGAUCAUGGCACAAUAAUUAAACAUAAUAAAAUUUCAGUAUAAAUUAUAGGAAAAUAUAAAAGAUUUGUUUUUGAUACAUGGUAUACUGCCACAUGUAACACAGAAAACUCACCUAAAAGCAACAAGUUUAGUUGAUGAUGUGUCAGCAACCUUGUCCACCUUGCGCACUACCAGGUAACUGUAUGACACAGCCUGAUUAGUGAUAGUAUAUCAGUGCAUUUAAAAGCAACAAGAAAUGUAGGCGUAUGCAACUAAGAGCUGCAGACUAAAGCAUGUCUACACCUUCAAGAUACAUGUACGAACUUGUACUUGCCCACCUAGAAAAAAACUAGAUCCAUCACUACAGAGGUAAACUAGUAGCAUGCUUAGAAUGCCUCUGGAAGGAGACUUCCCCAAUCUUCCUGAAAAUUUACUCUACUAGAAGAUCUCUUAUUCAGCCGAAAGCCAGCUCUAACUAUGCCACAUCUGAAACAACUAAAUUAUUAAUUGCUAGUUUCGGAUUUGAAACAGAUAUAUUGUCCAGCAAUUACUAGUUAAAUUAUUUAUUCUGAACAAAAUUAAAAUUUACAAAAAAAAAAAAAAAAAAAAAAAAAGAAGGAAGACAAGCUGGCUGCUGGCUCUUAUCCGUACUUAGAAUAAAUUGGUUAAACUAAUAACAUCAUGCAGAGUUUAUAAAAUUAGGCACGUUAAGGUUUUAAUAACCAUAGAUAUUUAAGGAACAUUAUAUAUAAAAUUUAUUGGUUUUCUGGUUAAAACUGCCUUUGUUAGACGUCUGUGAUAAAUUUGCUGAAGUUAACUCAAAGUCAGAGAUUUGAGAUAAUCUCAUGUUCUUUUAACCAUUCCCACUUUUCAAGACAAUCACCUACAGAAAAAAACAGAUCAAUUUUGAUGCUGAUUUUUCUCUUUAGUUAUUUUUUCUUUAUAUCACUUCUUGGUUGAUGUAUUUUGGCAUUCUAUGUUAUAUUCUAAACAAUAGCAGCAUGAUGUUAUAUAAGUGCAUCACGGAAUAUUCUAAUUAUCUAAAUUUAAUUUGGCUCCUCCAUAAUUCGAUGGCUAGCGUCAACCUUGUAAACUCCUAAUCACUUCCUGAGUAAAUUGUUAGUUGGAAACAUCUUCACCUCUUUACUCCAGUUGGAACAGCAUUGUGAAGCACGUGAUGAUGAGCUGGAUCCAGUACAUCAUUUACAGACUCAGGUAAUAUCGACCCAAGGAAACUACUUGAUCUUCUAUUUCUGUGAAGAAUAAGAAAUUAGACAAGAAAGGUCAGAUGGUUUAAAAAUUCUUCAAAAGAUCAACAAUCGAGCCAAAAAUUUAGUGUUAAUUCUUGGCAGAAUACUUCCACCUAAUCUAUAAAAUUUUGCAUUUCAUACCUCAGAUUUAUGGCAAACCCCAGUUAGAAGACAUGAAUAGAACCUGAAGUACUUGCUGCUACAAGAAUUUAUGGAAGCUGAAGUGAAGGACCAAACGACAAGGAAAAUAUUGUUGAUGGGUAUGUCCCUCUCCGGAAACUAUAAGACUGCCCAGGAAAUAUAGAAUCCAGUGAGUAUAGUAAGAUAUGAGUUACGAUCCGCAAGACCAAAAUACAUCUAGAAUCUGCUACAUAAUGAAUCAAGAGAGCAAAACGACUGAAGGAAAAGAAGACCAUGAAUCAUAAAGCUUAAGUCACAACAUGGAACUGCAAAAUGCUUGGCCUGGCUAUUAGAUUGGUAUACUCUGUAAUAAAGACAUAAAAUAGCAACAACAAUAGCAUGGUUCUUUCAUUCUCUCUCCAGAAAUGAAAAUUAUUUUCGUAGUUAUUUUUCAGUUCACAUGUUCAGUGUGCAUAUAUGACCCAAGACCAAACAGAGUUUUAAUUUCAAUCUAAUAAUUCUUAUUCCAAUAUAGUUCUCUCUCAAUUCAUGGCCAUUUUAUAUGGUAUAUCAAGACCACUAAACAGUUACCAGGCAAUUCAUCUUGGGAACCUCAAAAUAUUGAAGCCUCCAAGAACAGAAAGUCUAUUACAUUGUCUAUGAACCACAUACUAUGAUCGCACUCACAUACCCAGGCUGCCACUGUGAACAAGCAAAUACAGUACCUUAGUAGCAUCAAGAACUAGAUGAACUCUGAUUAUUGUUCCCUGUUCCGAUGCUGUAGCAAUGUACAUCCCAUUGGAAGAAAGGGCAAUUGCUGCCAGUGGUGCACGAUGAGCAUCUAUCUGCAAGUAUAUUCAAUAAAUACAUAAACAAUAAACCAAAGGUUGCAAAAAAAAAGAAAAGAAAAGGAAACGUAAACAAAUAAUUUGUUCAAGUCUCAAUGGUUGCAGGAGCUAGCAAAAAUUAAUCUCAAACAAAAGGAAACUUUAAAGGAAAUAUGUAACAAGAAAAUCAUUAGCAACAAGGAUCCUGCAUUUGCUAGGCUGCAAGAUUCCUUGUACCUCAUUAGUACGUUAUAUCAUGAUUCCCUAUUUUGUAAUUGAUGAAUUCAUCAUACAGAAUAGUUUGUCAGAUUUUAACAUCCUACUGAGAGCUUGAACUCUUUAUAACUUUCCAGUGUUAAAUAAGCGAGAGAGAGAGAGAGAGGGGGGGACCCUCCAGGAAUGAGAUUCAUGAUCAGAAAAACAGAAUCAGGUGAGUUCUAACUCCAUAUCAGAUAUUAUGCAUAUUAAUCAUUUCCAAUUUUUUUGCCACCUCACAAUGUGACUGGAGUUCCAUGACAUUGUACACCAGAACUGAUCCUUUAGUUGUACUUGCAGGAAGAGCCAAGAAGCAACCGUCCAAACUAGGGGAGAUUGCACAAAGUCCUGAGGAAAAAAUGGAAAUUUUCAGGGAACUUAAAUUCUAAGAACCGUAUGGUUCUGUAUGUCAACCAGGGAAAAAAAAGAAAAAAGGAAAGAAAGAAUGAAGAAGUAAUUCUAAAAUUCUGUAGAAUUAACAAUUAACAGUUGCCCUUACUUUUGGGACAAAAUAAAUUCAGCAGUAAUGGAGAAAGGGAAAAUAUUUAUACCAAACAAAAUUUAGAGAUCAGAACUUUACUAAGAUCUCCAGUUGAAAUGAAUGAAGGGUCUUCCAUCUAGAGUAACAAGUUCAGAUUAAGAUCCUUAGAAAGGGUAUUCUUGAAUCCAAAGUUUGGAUUUUUUUUUUUUUUUUUUUUUUGGUUUUUUUUAGGGGGGGGGGGGGGGUGGGGAUUGGGAGUGUUGAGUUUUAAGCUUCUUUAAAAAUGGUGUCAAAAUUUUUAAAAUUUUUCUACUUUCAUUAAAUCAUGGUUUGAAAAGGGUAAACAAUCUAGCCCUUGCCAAACCAUGGUUCAUUAAGCUGUAAAAACUACAAAAGUAGCCAAAAUCCAAUAUCAAACGGACACUUACAAGGUUAUCAUUCACAAACAGAUAAAACUCAUUGUUCCACAGGAAAAGCGAAGAACAAUAUUUUAAUGUCAAUCAGCCACUCCGAAAAUAUAAACUCCAAAGUGGCAAUGUGUCAUAAGAAGAUGUUUCAAGUAAAUUCUAUUUCAAAUAUAAAACCAAGAUAUUCAAAACUCACCUUCUAUGUUUGGAACUGUAUCAAUAGUGUCAAUAUUGCAAGACUAUUUAAGUCAUAAAUAUAUGUCUUUUCUUGCAAAACAACAAGAAGCCUGCAACGAUUAAGAGGCAGUAAAUCAAAAACCAUAGGAAAUUAUACUAAAAUAGUAAUACAUAUAUAGGGCAAAAAGCCAACUUGUACCAACAAUUCAAUAUAGUUUAUCUGAACUUUCAUCUGUUUUAACAAUCUAUAAAAUCAAAACCACUCUACACCCAUGUACCGACAAUAAUAUCAACACUGCACCAUACGAUAGAUUUUAUUUAUAAAUAUAUAUAGAGGGAGAGAGUGCAAAAUAGGGGCAACAAACAAUAAAUCAGUAGCUGAAAAAAAUCCAAGAUAGAUGUAUUACCUUUUUCUAUUUAAUCGAACAGCAAGGAUCGAAGUUAAGAAAUUCAGUUCUCGAAGGGCAGUUCCGGUAGUAGUAUUGAACAAACAGAGACGCCGUGGGGAUAAAGAAGGCUGAUUUCAGUUAAAUUCAAUAUAUCUACCAUUGAUGAGUAACAAUACUUGAAAGCAAAAAAGAACACACGCACAAAAAACAUUACCUGUUCACCAGCUCCAAUAAUAGCAAGAAGACUAGAACUGUAAAGCAUUUCAACAAUAAUAAAAGCUCCAACAGCUACAAACACCGAAGUAAACGCAAUUUGAAAAAUUACUGUACAGAAAAACUAAAUAGAAAACCUAAAUUAAAUAAGGAAAGUAGAAAUUGAUAGCUUACCUCGUUCAUAACAGAGACGGCCUGUGUUAGGAUCGAAUAUUUUGAAGCCAUCCUUAGUGCUUAUUGCAAAGCCACUGAAUAAACACAAUAAUAUUAAAUAAACAAAGAAAAGAAUAGAUUUAAAAAUCUGGAAAUUUAGGCAUACUGCUGUACCUAUUAUCUUGAUUGAAAGAGGCGCAGAGAAUGGAAGAGUUAGAGGACUGGCUAGUCAUUGUUGGAAUUGUUGGUGGGAUUGUUGGGGAAGAAGAUAAAAAUUUAACUUACUUAAAUACUUUUAGGUCCGGCUUGAACUAGAAGAGAACAGAAAACGGAAUGUAUCGAAAUGGACAGCGUUAUGGGGGAUGAUGGUUAGCCAGAUCGUGAGCCGUUAAUGUAUUCUGUGAUUGGCUAGAUCCUGACUGAUUAGAAAAGUGUAUAAAAAAGAAGGCCAAGUCAUGGAAGAAACAACAAUCUUUUAAAAGUUUUUAAAUUUUGGUCAGUUGUUUUAAUUUUAUUAAUUUUUUUCUCUAAUUUUCAGAAUUUAUUUUCCCUAAAUUAGCGACCAAAAGUUAAUAAGUGAAAGAUUGUUGCUAAAAAUCAGUCAAACCGUCAAACCCGUCGCUAAUUUAUUUUGUGAAUUUUUAAAUGUUGAUUUUAAGCUAUCACUGAUUAGUCUAAUCGGUUCAAUUUUUUAUUUAAUAUUUAUUUAUUUGGUAGCUAAUCAAUAUAUUUAGUGGCAAAAUUUUUAAUUAAGUUAAUUAAUUUGCGUAUUUAGUAGCAAAGCCAUGUCAAUUUGAUUUCACAAGAAUUUCUAAAAAUUUACCUGUUGAAAGCCACAAUACAUUAUAACCAUUCUGCAAUUCCCCAGACACAGAGAUAAACAUGAUGAAGGAAGCAUAAAUAAAUUGAAAUCAUAAAAGAACAAGCAAUAUACACAGAGAUAUAAUGUUUAAAAACUCGUAAAAGAAAUGCGAUGGGUAGAGCUACCCAGCUGAUGACAAAUCAUUAAAUUAAAAUAAAAGAAAAAAAAAUAUUUUUUUAGUAGGAAGUGAACUAUUCAAAUGAUUUUUCUGCUGAUUCAAUAGAAAUUGUAACUUGUUCUUGCAUUAUGCACUUCAUUUCCAACAAGUUUGUCUUUGAUCGAAGCGAGCUGUCGUAUGACAUCAGGAAUGCUCAUUCUUUCACUUGGUGAUGCAAUAGAACAAUCGACUCCAAUUUGAAAUAUUGAAAUCAAGCACUCUACUGAUACAUUACUAAUUGCUUCACCUUUUUCUGAAACAAGAACCGGAUCCACCACCUCCACCACAUUAUUAGGCAAAGCAACCUUGACAAAGUUAUGAAGAUUAAAAGAUCCGUUAAAGAUUUCAUCGGUAGGCCUCUUUCCUGUGAACAUUUCCAAUAAGAGAAUUCCAUAACUGUAAACAUCACCGUAUGUGGAUACCUCAUUACCCAUUCCAUAUUCUACAAUUUGUUCAAAAGAAUUAUUGGUUAAGAGAAUAUAAAGUUGAAUAAGACGAUGAUAGAGUUACACUACUAAUUAGAACAUGAUAGUUUUAUGUAAAAUCAAGAUUACCUGGAGGAGCAUACCCAACUGUUCCUCUUGCUCCAGUAGAACUUGAUUCACUAUUGUGAUAGAUUGCUGCGAGAGGAAGGAAUCUAGCUAGCCCGAAAUCACUAACAUGUCCUGUCAGUUCAUUGUCAAGAAGAACAUUGCUCGGUUUUAAAUCACGAUGAACAAUUGGUAUUUCGCAAUUAUUGUGGAGAUAAUCAAGAGCAGAAGCAACAUCAAUCGCAAUAUUUAGUCUUUGAAGAAUGUUCAAUUUCUGUGUUGCCUCACUUUCUUCAUUUGUGCUUACAGUUGGAUGCAACCAGUCAUCCAAGCUUCCAUUAACCAUAAACUCAUAAACCAAAGCCUUAAAAUCAUUUCCAUGGUGUGCUAUACUUGAACAAGCAGUUAGUACUUUAACAAGAUUCCUGUGUCUAAUACCUCUUAAGGCUUCACAUUCAGCAAGAAAACUCUUGAAAGCUCCGCGGCGCAUAAGGUUAAACACCUUGACAGCAAUUAAGGUUGCUCCACCAUCAAGUGUUCCCUUAUAAACAGAACCAAAAUUUCCCAUACCAAUCAAAUUAUCAGAAGAGAAUCCAUUUGUAGAUUUAUGCAGAGUUCGAUAAGAUAAUUCCAAAAUUUUCUUAUCUGAAAAAUUGGAAGCAGCAGGUUCCUUUCUUAUCUUUUGCUUAAGCCUCAGAAGAAACAGAACUGAUAAUACCAAUAAGGCUCCUACAAUCACAGAAAUAAUAGCAACCACUAACUUCAAUGUAGGAGUCAAUCUAUUUUUCUUAUGCCUUAAAGGAUGGCACUUAGGCAAAUGAAACUUAGGUAUGCCUCCACAAAGCAUAUUAUUUCCUUCAACUGAAGUAGCACUUGCAUUCUCAAAAAUGCCUUUAGUAGGCACCAUGCCCUCAAAAUUGUUGUAGGAGAGAUUCAAAUAUUGCAAAAUUCUCCAAUGUGACAGAAAUUCUGGAAUUUCACCUGAUAAAUUAUUUUUAGAUAAAUCCAAAGCUUGAAGAGCCUUUAAUGAACUCAAAGCUGCAGGUAUUGGCCCUUGGAAAUUGUUUCCACUCAAGUCAAGUGUUUCCAUGCUUAUACAACUGCCAAGACUACUAGGAAUCUCACCAGAUAAUUUAUUCUCGGAAACAUCAAAUUCACCAAGGUUUUUCAGGUUUCCAACUUCAAUAGGUAAAUUACCAGUAAAGUUAUUUUGAGAUAAAUCAAGAUAAAUAGACAAUGAAGAGAGAUUUAGGACUUGUGAAGGUAUGGAACCACUUAAUUUGUUUUGAGAAAGAUCUAAUCCAAGCAAGUUUUCACAUUUGCCAAUAUUUGAUGGAAUACUACCUGAAAGGUUGUUUUCAAAAGCAACGAAUUGAAUUAAAUUCGUUAAGUUUCCGAUGGAGGAUGGAAUUUCUCCUGAAAACAUGUUAUUGUUCAAAGCAAAUACAACUAGAUUUCGAAGCUUUCCAAUACCAUCAGGAAUAAAACCUGAAAGUUUGUUAUUCCACACCUCAAAAUCCUGCAGUCUUACAAGAUUGCCUACGUCAGAUGGAAUGUUUCCAAUUAUUUGAUUGUUAUCGAGGAAAAAUCUCACCAAACUAGUUGAAAGAUUGCCAAUGGUUUCAGGUAUCGUUCCUCCAAAGUUAUUGCCAUUAAUAAGCAAUUUUUCUAGCACAGUGGCAUUGAGAAGAGAGAAAAGGAAACUCAAGUCGUCAGAAUCCCCAUUUCCCAGAUAGUUUAAAGUAACAAUAAAAGCACGAAGUUUAUUCAACUUUGCCAGAGAAGGAACUUGUCCAGUAAGCUUGUUUUCUAGCAAAGAAAGUAUCUGCAAAUUAGUGGCAUUAGAAAAAGAAGAAGGGAUUUGUCCAGUGAACUCAUUAGCACCAAUAGAAAAAAAUCAAAUCUUAGGAAGUGAAGAGCCUAAUUCUGAAGGAAGAUUUCCAUGGAGAUGAUUCUCUCCUAUCUCAAAGUCUGUUAUGGAGGAAAGAUUAAAGAUUGAUGAAGGAACGAUACCUGAAAGCCUAUUUGAAUAAAGACUCAAGAACUGAAGAUUGGUUAACUAGCCUAAACAGUAAGGUACAGUUCCUGCCAAGCCAUUGAAAGCUAAGGAGAGUAGCAGAAGCUGUGACAAAUUUCCAAGUGAAUAAGGGAUAGUUCCUGAUAGAUUGUUUUCAAAUAAGUAAAGAACUUGAAGUUUCGAUAACGAACCCAAUUUUUCAGGAAUAUCUCCUUUCAACUUAUUAUUACGUAAACUUAUAACAAUGAGAUUUGAACAACUUGAUAUAUUACUUGGCAUUUUUCCACUCAUCGAAUUGUUAGUCAGUCUGAGUUCUUCCAGUCUUCUUAAGUGACCAAUCUGCUCCGGGAUUUGAUAGAUGAAGCUGUUGUUGUUUAAAUUCAGUAUCUUCAAGAAGGUCAAGUUGCGAAUGUAAGGUGAUAUAGAGCCAUCAAGUGCCAAGGACUGCAGGUUUAAUUCCAUGACUCGCCGGUGUGACCGACCACAGGUUAUGCCUUGCCAUUGACAGAAAUGGAUUGUAUGAUUCCAUGAGCUUAAAACCUGAAAUGGGUCUCUGAGUUAUUUUGGCUUUGAAUUGAAGGAAGGCUUUGAGGUCAGUCGCAUUGCUGGCAGAAGCAAAGGUAGUAGAGGUAAAGAAAAAGAGAAGAACAUAAACAUAGAUGCAAAGAGAUGAGAAAGGGUGUAAUAGGUUGUUGUUCAUGGAGAAAUUGAAGUAAGAACUAUGAAAUAAAAGAUGAAGAUCAUAUGAGAAGAUAAUGGAUGGAAUUGAGGAAUAUUUAUUUGGUGUAUUAAG
rnacentral:lncRNA from 1 species